AAUCACACUAUUGAAAUGUAUUUGCGAUGUUUUGUGGGUGACAAACCCCAAAGUUGGGUGGAUUGGUUACCAUGGGUGAAAUCCUGUAAUAACACCUCUUUUCAUUCUACCCUCAAAACUUUUCCAUUUCAGGUCGUGUAUGGACAUCCUCCGUCUCACUUAUUGCCUUAUGUAGCGGGUCCCGUAAUAAGGCAAUUGAUCAAGCUCUCAUUGAAAGAGAUGUGGAGCUCGGUGAGAUUCGUUUUCGACUUCAACAAGCUUAGUUAUGCAUGAAGAAUAUUAUGACAAGGGUCACCGUGAUGUGUCUUUACAACUGGUAAUUUUGUUCAGUUAAGACUGUACCCCUUUCGCCGCUUAACAGUGGCCAGCAAGCUAAAUUCCAAGCUGGCACCUCGUUAUUAUGGGCCUUUUAAGGUAUUACGUCGUAUUGGGGAGGUCGCAUAUCAGCUAGAACUCCCUUCUUCCAGCCGCAUUCAUGAUGUAUUCCAUGUCUCAUUAUUGAAGCCAUUCAAAGGGGAUAUGCCAUCUGUUCAGCCAACUUUACCAUCAACAGUUGAGGGUCGUGUUG
rnacentral:misc_RNA from 1 species